GAUUUCUGGUUGGAUAGACUUAGCCCGCUGCGGUUACGUAUGUGAGUGCUGAGGUUUGUCGACCAUCCUUCUAGAGAACCUAGCUACUCUUCACUGAGCCGGCUAGGCAAUCUAGAUCUUUUACUUUGAAAAAAUUAGAGUGUUUAAAGCAGGCAGCUUGCUAUGAAUACAUUAGCAUGGAAUAAUAAUUUAGGACUUCGGUUCUAUUUUGUUGGUUUCUAGGACUGAAGUAAUGAUUGAUAGGGAUAGUUGGGGGUGCUAGUAUUCAGUGGCCAGAGGUGAAAUUCUCGGAUUCACUGAAGACUAACUUAUGCGAAAGCAUU
rnacentral:rRNA from 1 species